GAAGAGUUUGAUCAUGGCUCAGAUUGAACGCUGGCGGCAGGCUUAACACAUGCAAGUCGAGGGGUAACAGGGAUUGCUUGCAAUCCGCUGACGACCGGCGCACGGGUGCGUAACGCGUAUAGAACCUACCUUUUACUGAGGGAUAGCCUUUAGAAAUGAAGAUUAAUACCUCAUAGUAUUGAGAUUUGGCAUCAGAAUUCAAUUAAAGAUUUAUCGGUAAAAGAUGGCUAUGCGUCCUAUUAGCUAGAUGGUAAGGUAACGGCUUACCAUGGCAACGAUAGGUAGGGGCCCUGAGAGGGGGAUCCCCCACACUGGUACUGAGACACGGACCAGACUCCUACGGGAGGCAGCAG
rnacentral:rRNA from 1 species